rnacentral:rRNA from 1 species
UACGUAGGCAGCAAGCGUUGUUCGGAGUUACUGGGCGUAAAGGGUGCGUAGGCGGUCCUAUAAGUAUGGUGUGAAAUCUCCCGGCUUAACUGGGAGGGUGCGCUAUAGACUGUGGGACUAGAGUGUGGGAGAGGAGACUGGAAUACUUGGUGUAGCAGUGAAAUGCGUAGAUAUCAAGUGGAACACCAGUGGCGAAGGCGAGUCUCUGGACAUUUCCUGACGCUGAGGCACGAAAGCCAGGGGAGCAAACGGG